ACAGGAACAAAGACAGCACUUUUCUCACCCCCCGCCCCCAGAUCUGAGAUGCUAUCUUCACAGCCUCGCAGGAAUUUCUGAAGACCCUGGAGAAGGAAUUUUGCAAGAACGGGAGCUGCAGAAGAACCUCCUUGCUAUCGAGUACUUGCACUCUGUUGUGGAAAUCACUCAAAUGGCACAUGGUGUUCCAAAAAAAACAGAGGAAAAUUAGCCCCCCAAGGAUCUAUUUACAUGAUCUGCAACCAAAGGAUUGGAUGCUAUGAAGAAGACGGAUCUGAA